rnacentral:rRNA from 1 species
GAGUUCAAGAGUACGUGAAACCGUUCAGGGGUAAACCUGAGAAACCCGAAAGGUCGAAAGGGGAGAUUCAGCGCGUCCCGGAUAACCGCGGCGAGUCGGUGACGAGUGACCGUCGGCGUUCGCGCGCCGACGGCACCGUGUCCGUUCCGCCCGCGGCCGAACGCGUGCACUUCUCCCCCUGUAGGACGUCGCGACCCGUUGGGCGCCGGUCUAAGGCUUGCGGUUACAGUCCGUUGGAGUUAGUUGCUCUAACGGGUCCGCGAAUGCCCGGCCGGAGACACCGACGGUAUAAUAGAGGCGAGGGGCCGCGCACAAUUCGUUCGCGUCCGGCCGAUCGCAAGUACGGACGGAAAAUCCGAAAUGCGGACCUGGCGCCGCAUCCGGAACCGUCCGACUGCUGGCGUGUCGAGUUCUCGGACAGACCCCUAUUACACGCCGGUCGGCGGCGCUAUAGAUUUGGGUACUUUCAGGACCCGUCUUGAAACACGGACCAAGGAGUCUAGCAUGUGCGCGAGUCAUUGGGACUUACAACGAAACCUAAAGGCGCAAUGAAAGUGAAGGUUCGCCUAGCGCGAACCGAGGGAGGAUGGACGGUCGAGAUUCGUGGCCGUCCCGCACUCCCUGGGCGUCUCGUUCUCAUCGCGAGAAGAGGCGCACCAAGAGCGUACACGCUGGGACCCGAAAGAUGGUGAACUAUGCCUGGUCAGGACGAAGUCAGGGGAAACCCUGAUGGAGGUCCGUAGCGAUUCUGACGUGCAAAUCGAUCGUCGGAACUGGGUAUAGGGGCGAAAGACUAAUCGAACCAUCUAGUAGCUGGUUC